rnacentral:rRNA from 1 species
GAUGAACGCUGGCGGCGUGCCUAAUACAUGCAAGUCGAGCGAACAGACGAGGAGCUUGCUCCUCUGAUGUUAGCGGCGGACGGGUGAGUAACACGUGGAUAACCUACCUAUAAGACUGGGAUAACUUCGGGAAACCGGAGCUAAUACCGGAUAACAUGUUGAACCGCAUGGUUCAACAGUGAAAGACGGUCUUGCUGUCACUUAUAGAUGGAUCCGCGCCGCAUUAGCUAGUUGGUAAGGUAACGGCUUACCAAGGCAACGAUGCGUAGCCGACCUGAGAGGGUGAUAGGCCACACUGGAACUGAGACACGGUCCAGACUACUACGGGAGGCAGCAGUAGGGAAUCUUCCGCAAUGGGCGAAAGCCUGACGGAGCAACGACGCGUGAGUGAAGAAGGUAUUCGGAUAGUAAAACUCUGUUAUUAGGGAAGAACAAAUGUGUAAGUAAAUAUGCACGUCUUGACGGUACCUAAUCAGAAAGGCACGGCUAAAUACGUG